rnacentral:ncRNA from 1 species
UGCCCUGCCACUUGGCAAAAUAUAAAAAUUAUUUGAACUGUUUUGGUAAAUCCUGCAAAGGAAGUUGAAGAAUCAGUUUGAAGUGCAUACAA